rnacentral:tRNA from 1 species
UAGCUUAGUGGUAGAGCACGUGCUUAGCAUGCACAAGACCCUGGGUUCAAUCCCCAG